rnacentral:rRNA from 1 species
GACGAACGCUGGCGGCGUGCUUAACACAUGCAAGUCGAACGGUAAGGCCCUUUCGGGGGUACCCGAGUGGCGGACGGGGGAGUAACACGUGGGUGAUCUGCCCUGCACUUUUUGAUAAGCGGGGGAAACUGGGGCUAAUACCGGAUAGGACUACGCGAUGCAUGGGGUGUGGUGGAGAGCUUUUGCGGUUUGGGAUGGGCCCGCGGCCUAUCAUCUUGUUGGUGGGGUGAUGGUCUACCAAGGCGACGACGGGUAGCCGGCCUGGGAGGGUGUCCGGCCACCCUGGGCCUGCGGUAGGCCCCAGACUCCUACGGUGGGCAAUAGUGGGGAAUCUUGCCCAGUGGGCGCGCGCCGGAUGCGGAGGCCCCGCGUGGGGGAUGCCGUCCUUUGGGUUGAAAACCCCUUCCGGCUAAGACCAAGCGGAAGUGACGGUACCUGCAGAAGAAGCACCGGCUAACUACGUG